UCCUACGGGGGGCAGCAGUGAGGAAUAUUGGUCAAUGGUCGGGAGACUGAACCAGCCAAGCCGCGUGAGGGAUGAAGGUACAGAGUAUCGUAAACCUCUUUUGUCAGGGAACAAAGGCGGGGACGUGUCCCCGGAUGAGUGUACCUGAAGAAAAAGCAUCGGCUAACUCCGUGCCAGCAGCCGCGGUAAUACGGAGGAUGCGAGCGUUAUCCGGAUUUAUUGGGUUUAAAGGGUGCGCAGGCGGUCUGUUAAGUCAGCGGGCAAAGCCCGGGGCUCAACCCCGGCCCGCCGUUGAAACUGGCAGG
rnacentral:rRNA from 1 species